GGCACAGUUACUGCAUAUGCUAGGACAGAGCCGCGAACAGCGUACUGUUCGGGGAGUCGGCACAGGGGGCGGCAUCACCGCUUU
rnacentral:sRNA from 22 species